rnacentral:tRNA from 1 species
UCCCGCGUCGUCUAAGGGCCGGACAACGGACUUUGACUCCGUGAAUGGGGGUUCGAAUCCCUCCGCGGGAG